rnacentral:siRNA from 1 species
GGUGGAAGAUAUUCAGGUUUUGUG